AGUUUUAAAAUUUUCCUUUAUUUUGACUGAUUUUUGUCAUGUUUGUUUCAGGGUGCAAGUUUAAGGUUUGCAUGUUAUUAUCUGGUAUCCUCAAUCUCUACAGAACCCGCCAGGUAAAAAAACACAAGGAAGGCCACUAAAGGAGGAAUUACAGCAAAAGUAAGUCAAGUAGCCAAGAUCUAAGUUUGACGCAGGGAGUGCAAGGAGAAAAGGUCCUUCCUGGGAUUGUUCUUCUGCUCGCUCAACUAUCUCUUUUCAUUGAGCAAAGUGCUAUCCCAAGAAUUACCGAGAAAUAGCUUCUUCCUUUUCUUCUGGUGGUGCUCGGGGUUACGAGUAUGGCCCUGCUUUCAUCCCUGCAGUGAUUUGUCGCACCUUCCGGGUAGUUGGGGAGAAGUGCUUGGACCAUUAUGUAAGGUUAAGAACUCAAAAGAUAUCAGUUCUGUUGCGGACGAAGUUUACAACACCAAACUAGGUUAAGCACAAGGAGCCAAGAGAGGUUCAUAUGUUCGUUGAUCUGCUGCUUCAAGAGUUCGAAGCCAUAAGAGGCGAAGUAAAGCAGAUUUUACCUCCAGAACUUAGCCGUAAACAUCGUUGUACAGACAGUAACGGGAGCACCACUUCUUGUCGCAACAAUCCUUUGAGAGACGACAGAAUGAACCGGUCAAAUACCCAAAGGGCCACGAACCAGCUACUGGAAUCCCAUCUGGCAAAAUUGUUUAAACAAAAAAUGGGGAUAUUUAUGAAAAUUGAAUUCACACAGGUUUGGUAGGAGUGCUUGUUGCUAGGUAAUUUACAUUAUUCCCACUGGUAAUAUAGCUAUUUUUUAGUUCUUUGUAAUGAUGAUGAUCCUUAAAGGACAUCAAGGACAUCAAUAAAUCAAAUUUUCUGACUUUUUGAUGGUUUAUUAGAGGAUGUAGUUUUAUAUUGCCAACUUCAAUGGCAUUUCUUCGUGAAA